UGGGGAAUAUUGGACAAUGGGCGCAAGCCUGAUCCAGCCAUGCCGCGUGGGUGAGGAAGGCCCUAGGGUUGUAAACCCCUUUCAGCGGGGAAGAUAAUGACGGUACCCGCAGAAGAAGCCCCGGCUAACUCCGUGCCAGCAGCCGCGGUGAUACGAAGGGGGCUAGCGUUGUUCGGAAUUACUGGGCGUAAAGCGCGCGUAGGCGGAUUGAUCAGUCAGGGGUGAAAUCCCGGGGCUCAACCCCGGAACCGCCUUUGAUACUGUCAAUCUAGAGUUCGAGAGAGGUGAGUGGAAUUCCGAGUGUAGAGGUGAAAUUCGUAGAUAUUCGGAGGAACACCAGUGGCGAAGGCGGCUCACUGGCUCGAUACUGACGCUGAGGUGCGAAAGUGUGGGGAGCAAACAGGAUUAGAUACC
rnacentral:rRNA from 1 species